CUACGGGUAUCAGCAGUGGGGAAUAUUGGACAAUGGGCGAAAGCCUGAUCCAGCCAUGCCGCGUGUGUGAAGAAGGCCUUCGGGUUGUAAAGCACUUUCAGUGGGGAAGAAAGCCUUGGGGCUAAUACCCUCGAGGAAGGACAUCACCCACAGAAGAAGCACCGGCUAACUCCGUGCCAGCAGCCGCGGUAAUACGGAGGGUGCGAGCGUUAAUCGGAAUUACUGGGCGUAAAGCGCGCGUAGGCGGUCUGAUAAGCCGGUUGUGAAAGCCCCGGGCUCAACCUGGGAACGGCAUCCGGAACUGUCAGGCUAGAGUGCAGGAGAGGAAGGUAGAAUUCCCGGUGUAGCGGUGAAAUGCGUAGAGAUCGGGAGGAAUACCAGUGGCGAAGGCGGCCUUCUGGACUGACACUGACGCUGAGGUGCGAAAGCGUGGGUAGCAAACAGGAUUAGAUACCCCGGUAGUC
rnacentral:rRNA from 1 species